UGGCAGAGGGGACACGGGGCAGAAGCGUGUCCCGUCCCCCGGCAGGAGCUGCCUCACACCUCGGGAGCGCUGAGCCCCCGGCCCCGCCGAAGCGCUGGUGGCCUGGGCUGGUCCCCCUUGCCGGGAUCCCGUGGCUCUGUGUGCUGGUACAGCGACACGGCAGCAGAAACCUCCGUGUGCCUGGCUACUGAGGGCCAGGAGAAGCUGUUCCCUGCGCCGAGUGGCACAGACCCAGCUUUGCUUAGGAGUAAUUUAGGAUAGAGUGAAUUUAAAAACAAAACCAAACACCAAACCAGCUUUAUUUUGAAUUUUAGAAGAGGUUUUUUUGAAAGUGUUUUGAAAGUCUCAGAAGAGGAACAGUGACUUUUUUAUGAGUGACAUCAUGAUCAUGUUGUCCCUCUGUCUUAAGGGAAGUGCUGAGGACACUGCAGAAUAAAAUGCACGAUUGUAAUCGUACAUGGUCAUGGCCAGCAGUCUCACAUCAGAAACUGGCUUUGAUGCUUUUGCAGACAAGCAUUCGCUGUUCUGCUGAAGACGUCAGAGCGCAAUGGAAAAACCCAGACUUGCCUGGGAGGCUUUGCUGCUUAUUCACAUGUGGAGAGUUCCUUCAGUUACCUGAGACACAGAAGAGGAGUAGUGAGAACUCUGGAAGAAGUAAUGAUCCUGGCCCUGGGAAUGAAUAUACAGCAGUGGAGCAGCCAGUGCACAUCCAGGGGGGAGCACGCACAGUGUGCAAUUGCCUGAGGAGAGGAGACAUCAGGGCAGGCCAGUGCUGGGGUGGAAUGUAAAGAACAUAAAUUGCAGACAUUACCAAGGGAUGGCAGCGGUGGGUUGUGUGGAGACCACUGAAACAAACAUCCUGUCCCAUGCCAGAAUUUAAGCUCACAGUCCUGCCACUCAGGAAUACUUCUGGAGUCACAGGUGCACUUUUUUGAAGGAGAUCCAUGCUGAAAGGACUUAAUUCCAAGAGGACUGCAGCUGGUGGAUGAGUUAUGUUUGAACAAGGAAACCCCUGAAGGCAUGGUGGGCACUGGGGAACUCGUGCUGGAGAAAGUAUUCACUAAAAAGACAGUGUUCUAAAUUUGUGCAUCAUAGUAACAUUGUACCUUUAUUGUUCAAUAGAAAUCUAUAUUUGAUUUCAGCAGAGCUAAGUCUCACCUCAGUUUGGGGUUACAGAAGGUUUUAUGGGCUGCUUCCUUUAGAAAGCUGCAAAGCAAACAUUCUUGGAUUACAUUUGCAUGAAUUGGAAGUGGAAAUUUUGGAAAGAAGCACCAAAGAAGGUGCUGGUUUUCUUGAACAAGAGUUUUGCUCUUUUGCCUUGAAACCCAGUGUGCAACUUCAUGAUUAUGUUUGGUCACCUGCCCAAGGGUUGGGAGCAGAAAUGUGCCACAGCCCCAAAAGCAAAUACCUCCUGGUCUCACCUGGGGCUGUGGGGCCAAGGGCAGCGGAGGAUGGGUGGCUGGGCUGGAGGGCGAGGUGGAUGGAGCUAGAGGGGCAUUAACUGCGGCCAGAAUUUGGCCCCCAGGCUGACAGGGCCAGAGGAGAUGCCGGUACUUUGGGGGCUGAGCUCCUGGUGCCAGCAGCCAGAGCCCCGG